UGUCUGUUUCUCUGUCUGUCUGUUUGUUUGUUUGUCUGUUUGUCUACGCCUGUAUGUGUUUAGGUUUUUAGGUGUGUGUGUCUGCCUUUGUCUUUAUUUGUGUUUGUGUUUGUGGCUUUGAGCAAUUCUGUUCUUUUGAGUAAAAUUACAUUUUGUAGGUUAUCUACAGUAGGUUUUGGAGGAGCAUUACGUUAUAUCUCUAGUGAUCUAUCAGAGACGACUGUCAAAAUUCUAACCGGACAUUCAGGGUUUGUAAACGACUGUACCUUUCUUUAGUCAUCCGAAGGACAACCGUUGGCUAGUGUUGGAGAUGAUGGUACGUGUCGACUUUGGGAUGUCGAGGCAGAUGUGCAGAAAAUGGUGAUAAAACUGAAGUCACCGAGAAUGUCUGUGUGUUGGCAUCCUUCAGAUCCUGUAAAGCUAAUGGUUUCUGAGAAGAUUGCACGAAUUCAAUUUUAUGACCUCAUUGCCGAACAACCCAUUGUGUCUUUGGAUGCAGGUCGUGUGACAAUGAUGAGCGCCGAUUGGUGCCCAGAGAACAGCAUGUUGGUAGGAGCAACGGCAAAUGAAAAUUGGCAUGUGUAGGAUCUUUCUGCUUUAAGAUGGUGUCGACAGGGUGAGUUAUUGUUUUCAACGACAUCUACAUUAGACAAGGAAUUCAAACUACAUCAUAGAGGACACCAAAAGGUGCCCAUAUCCAUGUCAUUGACUCAGUGUGGCUCAUCAAGUUGGCAGUGUACGACUCCUGUGUGUGGGAUAGCUGAUGGUAGACAAAUUAGAUUAUUUUCUUCAGAACUCUAGGACAAUCACAAUGGUUGCAAAUGAUUAUUUGAAUGUAUUAUUAAUAGACUAUGUUAAUGAGGUAUAGCAUUAGGCUGAAGUUUGUAGCAAACAGUUGCUGUGUGAAGUAUGA